CUAAAAGCGGACUGGUCGAUUUUUAGCUCGGUCAGCCUAUCGUUCGUACAUUGAUUGAAAUAAAGCGUCAGGGGACGAGAUUGGAUGGAGAGACGACAAUGAAGCUCAGACGAGCUGCUCAGGCGUAAGCAGUGGCAGAAACUUUGGAAGGUGAAGGUCCCCACGGAUUUGGGGCUAUUUUGUGUGGAGGAGCGUUGCUUGGCCUUGGCCGUAUCUGUCGCCUGCUUCCCUUCCUCUCUUCUCCACCGGCGCUGCCGACCGGAGUUGGAGGGGAAGGGGAGUAUGUGCGUGUAUAGGUCUAGUUUCUAGUAUGGUGCUCGUCUACGGGCCUAGCAGGAAUCGGUCACCGGCUGGGAAGCUCCGGUGGCUCGGAAGGAUUCUGUUCUCUGCUGUAGUGGCCAUCAUCGGUACCUUCGGUAACGGCGACCCCGGCCAGGAUGUUUCCUUCACUCCCUCUCUCCCUCUAAAUAACAGCUCCCCUUACUCAGAUCUGUAUUUUCCAUCUCUAACCUUGGUUGGUUCUUGUGGAUCCUCACGGGUUAGUUCUAGAUCUGAGCCCCUUCUUAUUCCUUUUCUCUUUGUGUUCUUGCCUGGUACCUCGGAUUGUCGGUGCUUUUCUCCAAAAAUAUUAUUCUCGGCGAUCUAUUGUUGAAGCUCCAGUUCAGUCUCCUCUUUGGUCUGGGCAAGUUGUCCUUUUCUCCAGCGAUGCUUCUCACAUUCUUCUUAUGCGCUGGCGACGAGUCGACUUUGGCGGCAGUGGCCAUCAUGAAGCUGUUGACUCCCCCUUCAACCUCCAUACGAGAGGCCCGCUUUGUGGUUUUUGGGAGCAACGGCCGAUUGUUGUCCACCAAAUCGUGGUCUGGAUCGGGCAUGAGGAGCACCAGCCCAUGGGAGGGGCUCUGGAUUUGAUUCGACGUCGUGGUGACCACCUAUAUCAGAAGCAGCGGCGAUCUUGUUCUCCUCCAGGCAACUGGCCUCGGAGGCAAGUUUGUCGUCUGAGGUAUGCCGGAUUUCGCUGGAGUUGGGUGCUGCUGUCGGUCGGCGCUCUCCACGGCGGUCCGCGGCGACGCUCCUUGCGGACGCAUGGUAUUUUCCACCCGUUGAGGUGGCAACUGAAGAGGAAGCACAAGACGCGUGGUGUUUGGUCCUGUCGGUCAAGCUACACGUGUCCCAUAAGGACCUCAUUUUAAUUUCUUUAGCUUUUAUGGUCCUACAUGUAAUUCGAGUUGUACUGUACUUGUGGGGUUUAUACCCCACUGCUUUAAUAUUACCAGGGUCUUUUCUUCCAAAAAAAACUUUUCUUUUUCAUAU